rnacentral:rRNA from 1 species
UUAAGCGACUAAGCGUACACGGUGGAUGCCCUGGCAGUCAGAGGCGAUGAAGGACGUGCUAAUCUGCGAUAAGCGUCGGUAAGGUGAUAUGAACCGUUAUAACCGGCGAUUUCCGAAUGGGGAAACCCAGUGUGUUUCGACACACUAUCAUUAACUGAAUCCAUAGGUUAAUGAGGCGAACCGGGGGAACUGAAACAUCUAAGUACCCCGAGGAAAAGAAAUCAACCGAGAUUCCCCCAGUAGCGGCGAGCGAACGGGGAGGAGCCCAGAGCCUGAAUCAGUGUGUGUGUUAGUGGAAGCGUCUGGAAAGGCGCGCGAUACAGGGUGACAGCCCCGUACACAAAAAUGCACAUACUGUGAGCUCGAUGAGUAGGGCGGGACACGUGGUAUCCUGUCUGAAUAUGGGGGGACCAUCCUCCAAGGCUAAAUACUCCUGACUGACCGAUAGUGAACCAGUACCGUGAGGGAAAGGCGAAAAGAACCCCGGCGAGGGGAGUGAAAAAGAACCUGAAACCGUGUACGUACAAGCAGUGGGAGCCUCUUAAUGGGGUGACUGCGUACCUUUUGUAUAAUGGGUCAGCGACUUAUAUUCUGUAGCAAGGUUAACCGAAUAGGGGAGCCGAAGGGAAACCGAGUCUUAACUGGGCGUUAAGUUGCAGGGUAUAGACCCGAAACCCGGUGAUCUAGCUAUGGGCAGGUUGAAGGUUGGGUAACACUAACUGGAGGACCGAACCGACUAAUGUUGAAAAAUUAGCGGAUGACUUGUGGCUGGGGGUGAAAGGCCAAUCAAACCGGGAGAUAGCUGGUUCUCCCCGAAAGCUAUUUAGGUAGCGCCUCGUGAAUUCAUCUCCGGGGGUAGAGCACUGUUUCGGCAAGGGGGUCAUCCCGACUUACCAACCCGAUGCAAACUGCGAAUACCGGAGAAUGUUAUCACGGGAGACACACGGCGGGUGCUAACGUCCGUCGUGAAGAGGGAAACAACCCAGACCGCCAGCUAAGGUCCCAAAGUCAUGGUUAAGUGGGAAACGAUGUGGGAAGGCCCAGACAGCCAGGAUGUUGGCUUAGAAGCAGCCAUCAUUUAAAGAAAGCGUAAUAGCUCACUGGUCGAGUCGGCCUGCGCGGAAGAUGUAACGGGGCUAAACCAUGCACCGAAGCUGCGGCAGCGACGCUUAUGCGUUGUUGGGUAGGGGAGCGUUCUGUAAGCCUGUGAAGGUGGCCUGUGAGGGUUGCUGGAGGUAUCAGAAGUGCGAAUGCUGACAUAAGUAACGAUAAAGCGGGUGAAAAGCCCGCUCGCCGGAAGACCAAGGGUUCCUGUCCAACGUUAAUCGGGGCAGGGUGAGUCGACCCCUAAGGCGAGGCCGAAAGGCGUAGUCGAUGGGAAACAGGUUAAUAUUCCUGUACUUGGUGUUACUGCGAAGGGGGGACGGAGAAGGCUAUGUUGGCCGGGCGACGGUUGUCCCGGUUUAAGCGUGUAGGCUGGUUUUCCAGGCAAAUCCGGAAAAUCAAGGCUGAGGCGUGAUGACGAGGCACUACGGUGCUGAAGCGACAAAUGCCCUGCUUCCAGGAAAAGCCUCUAAGCAUCAGGUAACAUCAAAUCGUACCCCAAACCGACACAGGUGGUCAGGUAGAGAAUACCAAGGCGCUUGAGAGAACUCGGGUGAAGGAACUAGGCAAAAUGGUGCCGUAACUUCGGGAGAAGGCACGCUGAUAUGUAGGUGAAGCGACUUGCUCGUGGAGCUGAAAUCAGUCGAAGAUACCAGCUGGCUGCAACUGUUUAUUAAAAACACAGCACUGUGCAAACACGAAAGUGGACGUAUACGGUGUGACGCCUGCCCGGUGCCGGAAGGUUAAUUGAUGGGGUUAGCGGUAACGCGAAGCUCUUGAUCGAAGCCCCGGUAAACGGCGGCCGUAACUAUAACGGUCCUAAGGUAGCGAAAUUCCUUGUCGGGUAAGUUCCGACCUGCACGAAUGGCGUAAUGAUGGCCAGGCUGUCUCCACCCGAGACUCAGUGAAAUUGAACUCGCUGUGAAGAUGCAGUGUACCCGCGGCAAGACGGAAAGACCCCGUGAACCUUUACUAUAGCUUGACACUGAACAUUGAGCCUUGAUGUGUAGGAUAGGUGGGAGGCUUUGAAGUGUGGACGCCAGUCUGCAUGGAGCCGACCUUGAAAUACCACCCUUUAAUGUUUGAUGUUCUAACGUGGGCCCCUUACCGGGGUUGCGGACAGUGUCUGGUGGGUAGUUUGACUGGGGCGGUCUCCUCCUAAAGAGUAACGGAGGAGCACGAAGGUUGGCUAAUCCUGGUCGGACAUCAGGAGGUUAGUGCAAUGGCAUAAGCCAGCUUGACUGCGAGCGUGACGGCGCGAGCAGGUGCGAAAGCAGGUCAUAGUGAUCCGGUGGUUCUGAAUGGAAGGGCCAUCGCUCAACGGAUAAAAGGUACUCCGGGGAUAACAGGCUGAUACCGCCCAAGAGUUCAUAUCGACGGCGGUGUUUGGCACCUCGAUGUCGGCUCAUCACAUCCUGGGGCUGAAGUAGGUCCCAAGGGUAUGGCUGUUCGCCAUUUAAAGUGGUACGCGAGCUGGGUUUAGAACGUCGUGAGACAGUUCGGUCCCUAUCUGCCGUGGGCGCUGGAGAACUGAGGGGGGCUGCUCCUAGUACGAGAGGACCGGAGUGGACGCAUCACUGGUGUUCGGGUUGUCAUGCCAAUGGCACUGCCCGGUAGCUAAAUGCGGAAGAGAUAAGUGCUGAAAGCAUCUAAGCACGAAACUUGCCCCGAGAUGAGUUCUCCCUGACUCCUUGAGAGUCCUGAAGGAACGUUGAAGACGACGACGUUGAUAGGCCGGGUGUGUAAGCGCAGCGAUGCGUUGAGCUAACCGGUACUAAUGAACCGUGAGGCUUAACCUU